GUGGGUAUAGCUUAGCUGGUUAAAGCGCUGGUUUGUGGCACCAGAGAGCGUCGGUUCGAAUCCGACUAUCCACCCCA
rnacentral:tRNA from 3 species